rnacentral:lncRNA from 1 species
GAGAAGGUCGCUUGAGAUGGUUUGGUCAUGUCAUGUGUUGCCACUGGUCUGUAAGUGUAAUAGCAUAGUGAGUGAAGGUGUUAAAAAUGGAUGAAGAAGACCUAAAAUCACAUGGAAAGCAGUUAUGUUGAAAGACUAACAAUUUCUUUGAAUCCAUACAGACUUAGCGAAAGACAGAGCACAAUAGAAGAAAAAGAUAUAUAUAUAUACAUAUAUAUAGGCAAUAUUAACUAGAUGGGAAUAUGUUUUGGUAAUGUCAAUACAUAAGCCCUAUGCUUCUAAGAUAGCCUUCUCUCAAAUUUAUGCCGAUACAAAGUGCAAAGAACUUCUAAUACUUCUAUUCUUGUUAUUUUGUAUCAUGUUGGUCUGAGAUGAAUUGAAAAGAAGAAACAUGGUCAUCGAGGAUUCAUAUAUUCAACCCCAACUUGUUUGGGGUUGAGGUAUGGUUAUUCUUGUAUGCAUUAGAAAAAAAGCUUUAGCAAAUAAAAAAAGUAGUAGUUUAGUGCAGUCUAGUAAAUCAACACAAGUGUCCAUAGUUGUCAACUGCAUUUAUAUUUUCAAGAUUUCGGACAUGAUAUGUUGGUGCUAAAAAGAAAAAAUUGUCCCAUUGGUGUUAGUGUCGGACUACUGUACGACUCAAAUAUGUUACCCAACAUAUGAUGCCCACGCUUUCAAGAAUUUAAGCUAAGCAUCAAUAUAGAAGAAAGUUUCAAUUGUACUAAAACGAACAUAUAUGUGUAAAAUGAUUAAUUCACCGAGAAAUAGUAGCAAAUCAUAUGAGAUGGUUAACUAAAAAG